AGUGGGGGGGGGGGCAAAAAGGGCAUUUCGGACGCUGUAAAAGCAAACCGUUUUGUGAUUGGAAUUGGAGGGAAGAGAAAAAUUAUUUCUCAUCCCUCCUGAUAAUGCCAACCAGUUGCGCGGCCUAUGGGUGCACGGCAGUGUACAGGAAGAACACCAACACCAGCUUCCACAGGUUUCCCUCUAACCCCAGGAGACGGAUGGAGUGGAUACAACUUGUUCGGCGGGAAAACUUCAAGCCAAGCAAACACACUUUCCUUUGCUCCAAACAUUUUGAGCAAACCUGCUUUGACCGGACAGGACAGACCAGACGCUUGCGAGAAGAUGCCGUCCCUACAAUAUUUGAUUUCCCUCCACAUAUUCAAAAAAAAUUAGCAGGCAGAAAGUCCCCCCUGACUUCUGGGGGCAUCAGUAACGAACAAACCCCACCCAAGUCCUUCACCAGCUCUGGCAGUAACACUAACAUUAGCACAAAUACAUGUAGUAGUACCAGUACCCAAACCAGCAGCAUCAAGGAAGUGUUCCAAGAGCACAGUUACUGUUUGGCAAAUCCUGUUGUCGCCAAGAGGAAGAUAAUCCAGCUACAGGAUGAAGUGGAUUACCUCAGGCAGCAGAUAAAGAUCAGCAAGCAGCGGGAACGCCGCGUGGUCAAGAAGUGGAGAGGGGUCAGCAAUCUUCUCGUGGAGCUCAGAGAGAAAAACCUUCUGCCUAGUGACAAGGAGCCAGAGCUUAUUCAGACCGUCUUAAGUGACAAAUCGCUUAAAAAGCUAUGAGCUGACAGAAAUUCACCAGGGCAAAUGGUUCUGUGGCCCAGAAAAGGCAGUUUGUUUCAUUAUCUUUAACUCUAAAGCACAGAAGCAAAAUGGUUUUCAGCAGCCUUUCAUUCACCAAAUUGCAAUGCCUGGGUGCUUUUGUGUAUUUAUUGUUUAUCAACAAAUCAUUCACAAGUGAUGCACAUUGCAUUUGUUGAUGUAAAGUGUAACAGUGUUACAUGGCACCAGUGUUUGCGUUGGCAAUAAAUGUCUGCUCAGAAACACAGUCAGACAGGUGCUUUAUCAUGGUUUGUCAGAAGGUGUUGGACAGUUAAACCAUGCUGUGACAUUUUUAUUCAGCGAACCCUGACAAAUAACCAGCUUGAAAUGUGCCUUGACACCUCAUAACCAUUCUGAACUACAGCCUCAAAACCUUUCAGUGAUGCAUUCGAUUUCGAUACCAAUAGUUCUGUCUGGAAGUGCCCAAGAAGACUUGUGCCAGACAAUGGCACACCACAAACACAAUUGAGACUUCAUUUGAUACAGGAUUUCUGUGGAUAGCAGUAAAAGAGAUAAGGUGCUUAUUUGACUAACUGGAAAGAACAUUUGUCAAUAACUGGUGCUACACCUGCUAUUGUUUGAGCAACAAGAGGAUUCCCCGGCAGAUGCAGUCUUUUGAUGUGCCAUCCGUGGUGGUAGGUCUUUGGCAUUUGAUUGCCUUUUUUUAUGUUUUUUUUAGAAAGUGAUAAAAUAUAUUUUGAUUUACAGGAAAUCUAAUGGGAGCACACCAAGCACUUGUGCCAAAUCAGAAUCCAAACAGUAAACAGGGGAAUCAAAACCUAACAUCAGAUAAUAAUCUGUUGUUAACUCUUUUGUGUGACACUGAAGGAACUCGUACUAAUGAAGUAUUACCGUUCAUUGAGGUAAAUGAGGGCCUUAUUCAGAACUCCAGGAAAUUCUGAAAUGGCUCCCUCUUCCCUACAAACUAAAGCCCUGUGACUGCAAUUUACUCCCACUUGGCCACACAUUAGUGUCUUCCGUUGAGUCUGCUGGCUGUCCAACCGUGUACUGCAACUGUCGUAAAUAUGAAAUAAACUGAGUGAGGAAAGAGUCAUUGAAUGCUGACACCUGGCUAUUGACCAAUUGGAGAAGGAGAAGUAUUCAUUGUCACAUCAGUAGGUCUCAUCAAAGAAUGAUUAUGUUCCCUUUAGGAUUCACUUGCAGAACUUAUAAAACAACUGAUAUAAGCAUACUGGCAUGGUUAGAUAGCAUAUUGACAGAAUACAUAUUCAGGAAACCCAAUGCAGAAUUUUUAAUGUCAGUCACAUGAGGAGGAUGUCAGUUGACUUUUAGGUACUUGCCUGCAUCAAGAAGAUGGAUCAUUUCAUUAGACAUUCUGAUACUACAUAUUGUGGUAUUAUAGGAUCAUCGUAACUGGUCUAUCAAACAUUCAGCUAAUUGCAUGAUGAGUUCAAAAAGCCAGAGACUAAUUUCCACCCCAAUUCAUUAUUAAAGAGAAGAUGGAAUUUACACAAUGCUACAGCUGCCCUGAAAAUUACAGGUACCGGGGACAUGGGACAGGAAUAAGGCCAUUUAGCCUGUUCUAAUUAGUGUACAUCUGAUCAAAUCUUAAUGCUGCCCAAGACCUUGGAUCACUCUUACCUGACAAAAGCAUACCAACUGUGCUGUUUAUUUUUUGUGUUACCCAUUGAGUUCCCACUGCCAAAGGAACAAAUAUAGGAUUACAGGUUGAAAUAGGUCACAGGUUGGAUUUCUGUGGUCUGAUGAUUCCCAUGGUCUGACAUGUUUUGAGUCUAUAAUACAGAUCUGUACUAAUCAACUAACUCUACCUAAAACCUAACCAAGAUCUAAAGUAAAAUUUGUAUUAAUCCAUAUUUAAUUGACCAGUGCAACUUUAGCAAUAUCAGCCAAAAGUUUUCCCAGUUGACAGAAACUUAAGUUGACAGACAGUUCUUACAAUCUUCCCAUUUCCAUUGCCCCAACUUUCCCAUUAUAAGGAUCCUUCUCAGCUAUCAAAGGCCCUGCUUGAAUGCACGCAAAUGAACAUUUGGGAGACUGGUGGAAUGUAUGGAGAUGGAUUUGUUGGCUGCUGCUGGCAUCUUAUGCUACCUGGAAAACUGGUUCACAGCUGCCUUUCCACCUUGUGAGUUUAUGACCCCUAACGAUGACGUGACUGGUCAGGGCAAGAUAAUCGGGAGAAAUUCCUGAUCAGCUCCCAAGGGGUCAAGUACUUGUUUGCUGGUAUGUUGUAAAAGUGUAGCUCAUUAAUACUAGACAAUCUAUAUUACUUGCAACUUUUUGUCCGUGAAUAUUGUUAGCUGCAGGUAAAAACGAAAUUCAUGCUACACGUUUGUAUAUUCAAACCAGUUUGCCCAAUGCGAUUCACAAAAUGACACUUUAUGAAUGUAAAGUUUGUAACAUUGAAUGUAUUUUGAAAGGAGUUUCAAUUUAAAUUUCAACUACCUGCAUGUUGAGAAUAAGUGCACCUAAUUUAAAGUUUAAAGUCAACCUCCUCUCAGCUCCAACUAAUUCAGUAUCUCUUUCACCAAAUUCAAAAAAAGUUGAUUAAAAAGUAGCUUGAAGAUUCAUAAUCUCCAGGACCAUGAGGCAACAGCUGGGAACUAGUUUUAAACAAGAGUCCAUUUUUGGUUGCCAUGGUCACAAGCCAAAUGGUGUCCUUUUGUACUGUAAAUGCCCCUGCUAUUUUCCAGCCACUACACUGAAUAGUCUCUGAAAAUCUCUUCCUUCUACACUGAAUAGUCUCUGAAAAUCUCUUCCUAAUCUACAACUCUCCAUUCCCUUUUUUGUUUAAGAAUUUACUUAUUUCAAGAUAUUUUGGUCACCUACCUCUCACAUUUUAAUUCAGUUUUGGUGUUUACUUUCCAUGUGCCCAUCUGUGAAGUACCUUGUGAUUAUUUUUCUGCAUUACAUUCACUCUAUAAAUAGGGGUGGUAAUCAUUAAUAAGGGGAACUUAAUGUCAAUAAUAGUUUCAAUAUGCUAUACAAACCAUUCAAAGAUGCAUAAUGUUUGACAAAUUGAGUGCACAAAGUACAGGAAAACAUUUGUGAUAGUAUGUAGCAUGUGAGAGCAGAUUUGGAAGCUCAUAAUUCAUUUACUCCUGUUUGGGACUUGUUUUGAGAUUUCUUUCAGUCUGUGUUAGUACAAAAACAAAAAAGGCUGGGAAUCUGCUCUCAGACUACCAUAACAAUAGCUACCAGCAAAGGACAGGAUAUGGGUCCUUAUUAUUAAAUGGAAUAACUGACUGAACCUUUCCAUGUAAGCAGCAGUUUUGUGCACUAAUGAAUAUCACCAUCACAAAUAUUUGAACAGUACAGAACAGGAAGCACUAUCUGACCCACACAGACUGCAAUAAUUCUGUUGAAGGAAUGUACUCCCCUUCAUGCCCCUGCGCUGUUUUUACCCCUUAAAGUAUUUGUUCAAAUAACUUGUAGUAGUUUCUCUCCAGUGUCCUGCAAACAAUACAUUCAUGUGCUAACCCUUCAUUAUAUAUGAUGCUUUUCUUCUUAUCACCUAAUUAUUUUGCCAAUUACCUUAAACCUGUGCCUCUAAUUAUAGCCCCUGGCAUCAGUUUCUUUCUCUAAUCUCUUUAAGUGUUUCAAGAUUUUUGAUAUCCCUGUCAAAUUUCCCCGAGCCUCCUCCAUCAUAUGUUGUGAACAACAGAUUUCAUGACAUGUCAGUGAUAACAAACCUGAUUCUGAUCCCUAAAGAAACUAAUCCUUUAUCCCAUUAACCAUUAAACAAGUGGGCUAUAACCAUUGGUUUUGGAAAAGACUGCCUCAGUGAGAUCACUCUCAGGUUUGAUAUCUCAUAUUCUGUCUGGGUAGACUUCAACCUGAUGGCAUGAACCUUGAUUUCUAUACUUUCUAGUCAUUUCUCUAAACCCCCCACCUUCUCUUUUUCCAUUCCCCAUUCUGGCUUCUCUCUUGCCCUUCUCACCUUCCCAUUGGUGCCCCUCUCCCUUCUCUUUCUCCCAUGGUCCACUUUCUUCUAUUAGAUUCCUUCUUCAGCCCUUUACCUCUUCCGUCUAUCACCUCCCAGCUUCUCACAUCACCCCUUUCCACACCCACCCACCUUACCUGGCUUCACCUGUCAGCUGCCAGCUUGUGGCAUUUCCCUUUUCCUCACCUUCUGGCUUCUUUCCCCUAAUUCCCAGUCCUGAUGAGUGGUCUUGACCCAAAAUGACAACUGUUUAUUCUUCUCCAUAGAUGGUACCUCAAAUGCUGAGUUCCUCCAGCAUUAUGUAGGUUGUUCUCGUUUGUGGAAAAGAAACUACCUGUGCUGUUUUUUUAAAAACUACCCUUUUUUUCUUGUGGAAUAAUGUUUGCAAUUGACCAGAGGAAGAAUGGUGUGGAUGUAACAGGAUAGUGAUUGCUGUCCCAUUGUGUGCUGUUAUUCCACAAAUCAUUUCAGGGGAGAAUUCUGGUAUGGCAUAGAUCAAAUGCACCAUUUCACAAAGAGACUCUAAAGAUGCUGGAAAUCCAGAGCAACACACACAAAAUGCUGGAGCAACCCAGCAAGUCAGGCAGCCUCCACAGAAGGGAAUAAACAGUCUGCGUUUCGACCCCAGAUCCUUCAUAAGGACUCACGAGGAUCUGGUGAUGGGUCUCGGCCCGAAACUUCAAAUGUUUAUUCCCUCUGUAGAUGCUGCCUGACCUGCAGGGUUCCUCCAGCAUUUUGUGUGAGCUUCGUAAGGGUGAAUGCAAAGGAGAAAUAAACAGUGAAUCAGACUUAACAACUUGCUCCUUUCAAAUUUGUGUGUUUAAUUUGUUUACAGUGACUAGAGAGGCCAAGGUGCUAGUAUUUCAGAUUAACUAAAGGAGGUUGAGGAGUACCAUCUUUCUAGUCUUGCAGUCACAGAUCCAGGCAUGAGACUUAACAUGGAUUCUAUUUUAUUUAAUAUUGGUGUUCAGAACACUGUGCAUUGUGACAAAUGCAAUAAAGAAUACUUUUCCA